rnacentral:lncRNA from 1 species
GGAGUUCAGUAUCCGUGUGGCCUGGGGGAGGAACCUGGAGUCCUGGCUCUGAUGGAGCGAAGCCUCUUACCCGAGGGCAGCCACUCAAACAGUCUGUGGUUGGGAUGGUGAGUGUUUGAUAAUCCGUCUUGCCCUGGACCUGCACCACUCGGUGUAGAUGUCCUGGAGGCCGGGCAGUGCAGUCCGGGUGAUGCGUUCAGCAAAAUGGAUGACUCGAUGCAGGGCCUUUCUGUCCUGAGAGCUGCAGCUGCUGUACCAGGCAGUGAUGCUCGCAGAAAGCACAGACCCCACUGUGGCGGUGUAGAAAGUUUGCCAAUUUGAAUUUACAAAUGUGCAAAAAAACAAAUUCCAUUUACAUGCAUUUGUUUUAAGAUUAAUAUGACUAAAUCCUUUUGGUUUACGAACUUUCACCACAUAAGCAGCGGUGGAUAACGGAGCAGUUUUUUUUGGAACACAUGCAUGAGUGUCACACGUGCUUGUGUUUUCUGAUCCUCACCUGUCGCCGCCACGCUCCGACGGUGCAAAGCCACUUUUUUCUUUGCCUCCACCUUUAGAUCAGACCACUUCUUCUUGAUUUCGGCAACGCUGCGCUCAGUGCCAGCCGCACUUACCGCAACGGCAACGCCGUGCCAUUCGGUGGCUUUUCUUUUAUUGGUGAUGCCACUCGAAUGGCCGCCGAGGUCUCCCGUCUCGCCGCCACCUCAUUUACAAGAACCUCCACCUCGGUCUCUGAAAAGUUUUUUUCUACGACUUGCUGAUGCCAUGAUUAAGCGUGAAAUGCCGUGGAGCCAUCAGGCUUAUUUAUAUGCAAAUCACAUUCAUGAGGUAAUUUGCAUGACCAUACAUGGUGAAUUUUGGGUGUGGAGAGGGCGGGGCAUGAAUCAAAUCCCUGCUGCGCAACUUUCCGGCUGGUCUGUGAUUUAUAAUGGGAAAGUGCGUGCAGGUGUGCGUAGGCAGGGUUUUAUAAAUCAGAUUUUUUUUUUUUGCCUACGCACUUUUCAGCUUUUCAACUUAUGUACACUUUUAGUAUGGAUCCUACGCCAGGUUUUAUAAAUGAGGCCCCAGGUCUGGUCAGAGGGAAUAUUCCAUCCCAUUCUGUGCAGUUGCUGUUAACGGUGACGUUAGUCAUUAACAGCAGGACGCAGGUCGACAGGACCACAGCUGGUACUACUCGCAGGAGUGGUCUCAGGCCCAUGCAAACCACACAGUCUUUUUUUGUCAUGUUUGCAGCUUGUUCUGCCAUUAGUAACUAAUUAUUGUGAUUUCCUGAUAUGCCUGUGGUGACCUGGAACCACUCAUCCACAGUUUUGAGUUCACCACGGGCCACAACUCCUCCUGCUUUCCCUGCAGGGGAAACUUGUGGUUUUGUUGGUGAGAUUUCAUUUCUAGUACAAUUGAACUCACACAGCGAUAUCAGAAAUGAUAGAUCAGUGCCAGAGGACCAAGCCCAUAACAGGAACAACCAGCACUGACCUCCCUUCCCCCGUAUACCCUGGGGGAGUCAGUGUUCGUCCAUUCGUGAGAUUCACCGUUAUCAAUUUAUUAUCUUUUCGAGGAUCUCUUAAAUUUAUGAUUUCCCUGUGGUAUGAGGCCCAUGCAUCUGUGGUUUGAGUAGUCCAAUCAUAGCCAUUGGGAUCGUCUACUAGCGCGCCCCAUCCCUGGUUUUGUUGAUUAUUUGUCAUAUACCAUUUUGUGUAGCCCGUUCCCUUAUAUCCUUUAUAAGAGAGACUGCCUACUGGGAUGGUUAUAACAGAAGUCUGGUUUGCCGGUAAAUACACCGCAGGAAUGGAAGCAUGCAUUCAUGUCGCAUUGACUGCACAGCUAAUUUUUUUUGUCUUUAUUUUCUCGUUUAGGCCUAUUAUGGGUGAAGCCUGGAGUAUAUAUGUUGUUACCUGCAGACAAACCUUAUCCUAGGGUUGUCAUCAGCAGGGCUCUGAAUAACACUGUCACAGUCAUUUUUACCGAAACAACGACCCCUAUCCUGCAGUCAGUGGCUUUGAAAUAAGGUUUCAUAAGGAGUCAAUCCACUAGUUCUUGUUAUAUUGAUGUAGAGUUUCACGAGGUCCAGACACUGUGUCCACGGUCUGUUUGUUUCUUCCAUACAUUUUUUAAGUCUGUUUUUUAUUGUUCCAUUCAUUCGUUCUACUAGGCCUGCACUUUGAGGAUGGUAUGCACAAUGAUAUUAAAGGUCCAUAUGGAACAUUUGUCCUAUUCUUUUGAUGAUUUGGUUCACAAAGUGAGUGCCAUUGUCGCUGCAAAUUAUUUCUGGGAUACCAUACCGAGGUAUGAUGUCUUUACAAAGUGCUUUAGCGACCGUCAAUGCAUCUGGUGUUUUAGUUGGGAAAAGCUCUAACCAUUUGGAAAAUGCAUCUAUUAUCACUUGGGCUUAGUUCGAUAAAGUCCAUGUGUAUGACCUGGAAGGGGUAUUUUGGUUCAGGGAAACUGCAUGUUUUCAUUCUGUGAUUUCCCUGAGGAUUAUGUUUGGUGCAUGUUAAACAUGCUCUGCAAAAAUUUUUUGAAUAAGAGUUAAAUCCAUAUGCAGUAAAGUGCUGCUGUAUCCAUCCUACCAUCCCUCCUGUUGAGACAUGUGUGGAACCAUGGCUCAAUAUUGCUGCCCAUUUAAAAAGAUUCUUUGGUAGGAUAGGCUUCCCUUCAGGUCAUACAUAGAUGCCAUUUUGCAAAUGUGCUCUUUGUUUAGUCCAGAGUUUGAUUUCAGUUUUUGGGAUCUGUUGUUGCAUUGUUUUAAGAACAUCAUCAGAAAGUGCGUCAGUAUACUCCAAGGUCCAGACUGAGAUCUCACCCUCAGCCGUAGCCUUGGCCGUCUUUUCUGCAAAUGCGUUUCCCAGUGAAACAGAAUCUGUUCCAGAAGUGUGGGUGGCACAUUUGCAAAUAGCUAACUUUUUUGGUAGAUGUACGGCGGCUAAGAGUUCCAUCAGGAGCUGAGCGUGAGUCACAGGUUUACCGGUAGGAGUCAUCAUGCCUCUAUUUUUCCAAUAUUGUGCAAAAGUAUGUGUAGUGGCGAAAGCAUAUUGGCUAUCGGUGUAAAUUGUGACUUCUUUUCCGGCUAUGAUUUUGCAAGCUUCAGUAAGCGCAACCAGUUCUGCUGCUUGAGCAGAGAAACUUGAUGGUAAUUUUGCUGCUUUUAAAACGGUUGCGCUAGUUACAACUGCAUAACCCGUUAAGGUUUUACCACAUUCAUUCUUUUUGGAGGAACCAUCCACAAAGAGGGUUUCUCCAGUUUGCAGAGGUUGAUCUUGCAAAUCGGCUCGGCUUUUUGCUGUUUGUUCAGCUAACUCCUGACAGUUAUGCUUAGCGCCAUCAUCUGGCAGAGGGAGCAAAGUAGCUGGAUUUAAGGUUGUGCAUCAUUCUACAGUCAUGUGUGGCUGUGAUAGCAGAGUCGACAUGCAAGACAAAUGUCAUGCCGGAGACAAGAAAGUCAUAUUAGUCUGCAACAGUGAAACUGAAUGAGGCACUUGCAACGUGAGUGUGUGAAACAGUACUGUGGUAGCACUGACUUCCACAGCCAUCGAGGCCGCUAUCACAGCUCUGACGCAAUGAGGCAAUGCACAAGCUACGCUAUCAAGCUUGGAUGAAUAAUACACUACUGGUUUCAGUUUUGCUCCAUGUUGUUGUGUAAGGACAGAGGUCAUGAACUGUCCCUUGCAGUCUACCAUCUGAAUAAAUGGCUUACUAUAGUCUGGCAGUGCUAAAGCUGUACUGGACACUAAAGCUUGCUUGAUGUUACAGAACGCUGUUUCAGCUUCAGGUGUCCAUUGUAUCAAAGAUGUCAUCUUUAGGUCUUCAUCCUACAUUAGUUAACUCAAAGGUUGAGUUAUUUCAGCAUAAUUAGGAACCCAUGUUCUGCAAUAGUUUGUUAGGCCUAGAAAUGACAUCAUUUGUUUCUUUGUAAGUGGUUUAGGAGCUUGUAGGAUAGCUGUUUUUCUACUCUCAACUAUGGUGCAGCCUGCUGCACUAAGAUUGUGGCACAAGUAUUUUACCUCUGUCUUACAGAGCUGCAAUUUGUUUUUACUGGCCUUGUGUCCUUCAGCAGCUAAGCGUUCUAAUAAUGCCAGUGUAUCUGCCUUACAGGUGGCUUCAUCGGGUGAGGCCAGAAGGAUGUCAUCGACAUACAGAAGGACUUGAAUCCCAUGAGGGGGAGUGAACUUCGACAUACUGGAGCUCAUGAUCUGGGAGUAUAUUGUAGGACUUUCGCAAUAACCCUGUGGUAGCCGAGUGUAUGUGUACCGCUGGCCUCCAAAGGUGAAGGCGAACCAGUACUGACUGUCUUUAUCCGCCGGUACUGAGAAAAAUGCAUUGCUAAUGUCCACUACUGUAAAUACAGUAGCAUCUGAUCUUUUUCAAAACACCAUUUCUGCCUUCAGCAAGCAAUGCAGCUGCUAAAGCUGCUGGACCUUUGUUUGGUAAGUCUAGACUGUACCAAUAAUGAGGUUGGCCUUGACCCUGGGAAACAAAAAUGUCUCCUGGGCCUAAUUCAUCUUUUCUUUUCACCAGCAUCAGCCCACAAGAAGAGGGCACCAAGGCCAAGCUCAAGCUCAACGGUCCGUCUCAACCAAGCGAAUUUACUGGACACUGUGGCAUGUCCAACGCACUGAACUGACAGGAUGUGCCCUGGGGGUGUGGGUCCCUAAACCACAACGGUGUGGUCUGGGGCACAUCUGAGAGUUCUCCAUUUGCAGCUCUUACUUUCAUGGUUUUGCCUGAGAAUGUCACAUGUGGUAUUGGUUCUUUUAUUGUGGUUUCACAAGCGCCGCUGUCGCAAAGGAAUGUCAUUUCCUUUCCAUUUACGAGCAGCUGCACUUCUGGUUUCACAUGGUUCAUAAUAAAAUAUCUCAAUAUAUCAGACUCUUUCCUUUGUCCUUCAUACUGUCAUGCUUGAUUUUGAUCUCGCCCUGACUGUUCAUGCCUUUCUCCAUCUAAUUUGUUCUUGCAAUCAUGGCUUUAUGUACCUCCUUUCCACAUGCCCAGCAACCUGUCCCUCUUUGGUUUGCUCCUCCUGGUCUGGGCCUACCCUGUCCUCUACCUCCGAACCCUCCUCUG